rnacentral:rRNA from 1 species
UGGUGGAGUGAUUUGUCUGGUUAAUUCCGUUAACGAACGAGACCUUAGCCUGCCAACUAGUCGCGGCGAUCUCGAUCGUCGUCGACUUCUUAGAGGGACUUUGUGGCACUAAACACAAGGAAGUUUGAGGCAAUAACA